CCUACGGGUGGCAGCAGUGAGGAAUAUUGGUCAAUGGGCGCGAGUCUGAACCAGCCAAGUAGCGUGAAGGAUGACUGCCCUAUGGGUUGUCAACUUCUUUUAUAUAGGAAUAAAGUGAUCCACGUGUGGGUUUUUGUAUGUACCCUAUGAAUAAGGAUCGGCUAACUCCGUGCCAGCAGCCGCGGUAAUACGGAGGAUCCGAGCGUUAUCCGGAUUUAUUGGGUUUAAAGGGAGCGUAGGUGGGUUGUUAAGUCAGUUGUGAAAGUUUGCGGCUCAACCGUAAAAUUGCAGUUGAAACUGGCAGGCUUGAGUACAGUAGAGGUAGGCGGAAUUCGUGGUGUAGCGGUGAAAUGCUUAGAUAUCACGAAGAACUCCGAUUGCGAAGGCAGCUUACUGGACUGCAACUGACAUUGAGGCUCGAAAGUGUGGGUAUCAAACAGGAUUAGAUACCCUAGUAGUC
rnacentral:rRNA from 1 species